AGUAUCACGUGAGUAACCUGCCCCCUGCUCCUGGAUAACUGCUUGAAAGGGCGGCUAAUACGGGGUGUGCCGGCUGGUCCGCAUGGGCCUGGUCGGGAUAGUUUCAUCUUCGGGUGUUUCGGUGGGGGAUGGGCUCGCGGCCUAUCAGCUUGUUGGUGGGGUGAUGGCCCACCAAGGCGGUGACGGGUAGCCGGCCUGAGAGGGUGGGCGGCCACACUGGGACUGAGACACGGCCCAG
rnacentral:rRNA from 1 species